rnacentral:tRNA from 1 species
GCACCGGUAGCUCAGUGGAAGAGCGCCGGCUUGCCAUGCCGGUGAUCCGGGUUCGAUUCCCGGUCGGUGCUCCA